UUAUUAUGCACGUGAGUUAAUGGGUCCCACGAAACCCAAUGGCGCAGUGAAAGUGAAUUCUCGACUUGUUCUCGGAUGUGGUGAGAUGCCAUUGUUUCUCGAACCUCGCCUUGCGCAUACAGCACCAGGCAGAAGAGCAGUGGUCGCAUCACCGGCCCGUCCCAUGAUGUGGUCGUUGGAAAGGCGUGGAUCGUUCUGCGGUCUGCGUUGGAGCCGGCGCGUCAUCGGGGCGGAGCAGGAGCGUGCAUGAUAAGACCCGAAAGAUGGUGAACUAUGCUCGCGUAGGUUGAAGCCAGAGGAAACUCUGGUGGAGGACCGCAGCUAUUCUGACGUGCAAAUCGAUCGGCAAACAUGACAAUAUGGGCUUUGGUAAGCAGAACUGGUGCUGU
rnacentral:ncRNA from 1 species